rnacentral:rRNA from 1 species
GACGAACGCUGGCGGCGUGCUUAACACAUGCAAGUCGAACGGAAAGGCCCUGCUUUUGUGGGGUGCUCGAGUGGCGAACGGGUGAGUAACACGUGAGUAACCUGCCCUUGACUUUGGGAUAACUUCAGGAAACUGGGGCUAAUACCGGAUAUGAGCUCCUGCUGCAUGGUGGGGGUUGGAAAGUUUCGGCGGUUGGUGAUGGACUCGCGGCUUAUCAGCUUGUUGGUGGGGUAGUGGCUUACCAAGGCUUUGACGGGUAGCCGGCCUGAGAGGGUGACCGGCCACAUUGGGACUGAGAUACGGCCAAGACUCCUACGGGAGGCAGCAGUGGGGAAUAUUGAACAAUGGGGGGAAGCCAGAUGCAGCAACGCCGCGUGCGGGAUGACGGCCGUCGGGUUGUAAACCGCGUUCGCCUGUGACGAAGCGUGAGUGACGGUAAAGGGUAAAGAAGCACCGGCUAACUACGUG